rnacentral:sRNA from 1 species
UUAAAAUAUAAUUAGUUUGGCAUGCAUCACAAAAACACACUAGGG